rnacentral:misc_RNA from 1 species
GAUGAAGAACGCAGCGAAAUGCGAUAAGUAAUGUGAAUUGCAGAAUUCAGUGAAUCAUCGAAUCUUUGAACGCACAUUGCGCCCGCCAGUAUUCUGGCGGGCAUGCCUGUCCGAGCGUCAUUUCAACCCUCGAGCCCCUCCGGGGGGUCGGCGUUGGGGAUCGGCCCCUCACCGGGCCGCCCCCGAAAUACAGUGGCGGUCUCGCCGCAGCCUCUCCUGCGCAGUAGUUUGCACACUCGCACCGGGAGCGCGGCGCGGCCACAGCCGUAAAACACCCCAAGCAUUCUGAAAUGUUGACCUCGGAUCAGGUAGGAAUACCCGCUGAACUUAAGCAUAUCAAUAAGCGGAGGA